AGUGGGUGAUGAAACGCCAUUGGUCCGUGUUUCUGAACCAUGUGAUUUCCAUGGCUAUUCUGAUACU